CCCAGAAUACAAAUGUGAUUACUAUUGGGGAAUGUUUGAUCAAUAGAGAGCAUCGAGCUUACCUGGAUGUGAUUAUUGGUUGUCACAAUCACAGCAGCUUAAGUUACAAGUCUGAAGGUAUUUUGAGUGAUAGCUCAGGUAUCAAAGGAAGACUUUACUUGUAGGAAGACUUGAGAAAUAGCUGAGAAAGAAAGGAUUCUUUGCUGAAGGAGUUGCUAGGCAGGAGGAAUGAGACAACGGGACAUGCUUUUACAUGAUAAACGCCUCCCACUUUAAUCUGAGAAGGGGACAGUUGAGCAGGCUAAACAGUAACAGUUCCGCGUCAUCUUGGUACAUUCCAAGAAAAAUGUGUCCACACAUUGUCGGAACAAGAAAAGAUGUUAAAGAUUUCCCUCGUUCAAUCACUUUUCAGUCACCGCCGGCCUUGUUUUCUAUCACCCUUUUUUCCGUUCACCUUCGUAUAAAUUACCAACUACUGUAAUGGGUUGGAAAGAGCAGGGAUCAAUCAAUCCCCUCGAUCAUGUGUAGGGCUUCCGAAUUUUUUAUAGGUCUAUAUGUGUGUAUUAUCUCUUAAUUUCUCUUUUUAGUUCAUGUUUUUGCUUGAAAAAUAAAUAUAUAAUAUUCAAUCAUUUAUUUUAUUUUUUUACAAGAUUAUUUAAUUUAUUACUGUAUAUAUUUAAUAUUUACGUUUUUUACUUAAGCCCUAAAUCUAUCUACUUCUAUAUAUUAAAAGAGGACCAGGGGCAAAAAAAACACCAGUGAAAUUACACAUAUAACCUCAGUUUACACAUAAUUUCUACAAUGCCAUCGGCUCUUGGAUUUCUUAGUGACCUCUGACUGUUUCUCCGAUUUGUGUAAAGACGGAAUUGAUUUAUCCCAACAGGAGUGAGCGAUACCAUUUUGUGUUGGUUUGUCAGAACUCGGAACCGUUGUCAUUUGUAUACUUGCCAGCUUUCUGCGUAGCUCUUUGGAAAUUGGGAGAUGGGGGCCUGGCGCCGGAGAAUCAUAGGGGAGGAUAUGGACGGCCUGCUCGGAGGCGACGCAAUCGUUAAUCAAGGGAAUGUUCCAGCCAGGAAGAGGGGACGUCCUUCGGUUCCUGUUACCGAGGAGGUGCUGGAGCGUAGAAGGUUAUCAAGGCAGAGGGCUAAUGCUUCUCGUCCAUAAAGUUUUUGUUCCUGCGGUAUUAUUGGGAGAAUCAAAGUUGAAGGUCAAUGAUCAAAUGUUCAAAGAAAAACAAGCAACUAGGCAGGCACACUCACUAAGCGGUGCACAGGAGGUGAUUGCAACAUGAAAGUAUAGCGCUUCGGUUCUUUAAUCUGUCGGCAAACUUUAGGUUCUUAAUUACAUUGGUACUCCGCCAUACAUGUGAGGCCACAAUAGUGGCAAUAAUGGAAGGCGAGGGGUGGUACUACAGUUGUGGCCCCCGAUGCUCACGUAAAGUAAAAACUAUUGAUAGAAAUUAUUACUACACACAUUACUUAAAGGAAGCGCCAGACUUCAAGCCACGGUACAUGACCAUGCGGGUGGAGGACGCCACGGCGAAAACAACUUUCACCCUCUUCAAUAAAGGCGUAAGAGAUCAUCGCCGUACCAGUGGACAAAAUUCUCAAUGAAAUUCCCGAAGUAAUAGACAUUUCAUUGACAUCAAUAAAAUACAUAUCAAUUGUACCAUUUACUUACCGCUUACUACUUUUGUUCUUACGCCGGGUACCAACAUUGUUGAAAUACCCUAUGUUAUGGAACGUUGUGUGUGGUUACGAA